UCUGGAGCUAACGCGUUAAAUCGACCGCCUGGGGAGUACGGCCGCAAGGUUAAAACUCAAAUGAAUUGACGGGGGCCCGCACAAGCGGUGGAGCAUGUGGUUUAAUUCGAUGCAACGCGAAGAACCUUACCUACUCUUGACAUCCAGCGAAUCCUUUAGAGAUAGAGGAGUGCCUUCGGGAACGCUGAGACAGGUGCUGCAUGGCUGUCGUCAGCUCGUGUUGUGAAAUGUUGGGUUAAGUCCCGCAACGAGCGCAACCCUUAUCCUUUGUUGCCAGCGCGUGAUGGCGGGAACUCAAAGGAGACUGCCGGUGAUAAACCGGAGGAAGGUGGGGAUGACGUCAAGUCAUCAUGGCCCUUACGAGUAGGGCUACACACGUGCUACAAUGGCAGAUACAAAGAGAAGCGACCUCGCGAGAGCAAGCGGAACUCAUAAAGUCUGUCGUAGUCCGGAUUGGAGUCUGCAACUCGACUCCAUGAAGUCGGAAUCGCUAGUAAUCGUAGAUCAGAAUGCUACGGUGAAUACGUUCCCGGGCCUUGUACACACCGCCCGUCACACCAUGGGAGUGGGUUGCAAAAGAAGUAGGUAGCUUAACCUUCGGGAGGGCGCUUACCACUUUGUGAUUCAUGAC
rnacentral:rRNA from 1 species